rnacentral:rRNA from 1 species
AACGAACGCUGGCGGCAGGCUUAACACAUGCAAGUCGAACGCCCCGCAAGGGGAGUGGCAGACGGGUGAGUAACGCGUGGGAAUCUACCCAUCCCUACGGAAUAACGCAUGGAAACGUGUGCUAAUACCGUAUACGCCCUACGGGGGAAAGAUUUAUCGGGGAUGGAUGAGCCCGCGUUGGAUUAGCUAGUUGGUGGGGUAAAGGCCUACCAACGCGACGAUCCAUAGCUGGUCUGAGAGGAUGAUCAGCCACAUUGGGACUGGGACACGGCCCAAACUCCUACGGGAGGCAGCAGUGGGGAAUAUUGGACAAUGGGCGCAAGCCUGAUCCAGCCAUGCCGCGUGAGUGAUGAAGGCCUUAGGGUUGUAAAGCUCUUUCACCGGAGAAGAUAAUGACGGUAUCCGGAGAAGAAGCCCCGGCUAACUUCGUG